GGAGGCCCCUAUUCCUCUCACAGAGCUACAAUCUCCAGAGUUUAAUAAUCAAUCCCUCUUCCCAGAGAACUCUGAGAAUUGUAGUUUUGUGAGGAGAAUAGGAGUCUC